CCUACGGGAGGCAGCAGUGGGGAAUAUUGGGCAAUGGGCGCAAGCCUGACCCAGCAACGCCGCGUGAAGGAAGAAGGCUUUCGGGUUGUAAACUUCUUUUCUCAGGGACGAAGCAAGUGACGGUACCUGAGGACUAAGCCACGGCUAACUACGUGCCAGCAGCCGCGGUAAUACGUAGGUGGCAAGCGUUAUCCGGAUUUACUGGGUGUAAAGGGCGUGUAGGCGGGAAAGCAAGUCAGAUGUGAAAACCAUGGGCUCAACCUGUGGCCUGCAUUUGAAACUGUUUUUCGUGAGUACUGGAGAGGCAGACGGAAUUCCUAGGGUAGCGGUGAAAUGCGUAGAUAUUAGGAGGAACACCAGUGGCGAAGGCGGUCUGCUGGACAGCAACUGACGCUGAGGCGCGAAAGCGUGGGGAGCAAACAGGAUUAGAUACCCCUGUAGUC
rnacentral:rRNA from 1 species